rnacentral:lncRNA from 1 species
UAGGCUGAAUCAUUGGAGUUCUUUAUCUUAAUGCAAUUCUCUCUACAAAGCGUUUCUCUUUCUCUCUCUUACUCACCUCUAUUCAUAUAUAAUUCAUUGCAGGCACCACCCAUUCACAAAUAUUCUCAAUCUCUCUCUCUCUCUCUUUGUUCCUUUCAAAAAACAAAGGGGCUUUGUUAAACUAUUGAAAGGAGAUUGGAGAGAGCAAAAGGGAAGAUUUUUUAGGACCCAAGUUCCUGUGAAAUGUUUUUCAUGUCUGAGAUUUUGUUAACUGAGGAAGAAAAAGUUGAAGGAGAGUGGGAAAAGGAGAGAUAAGAAGAGAACGAUACUCAUCAAGCAGAAGUAGACAAAGAUUAAUAUUCAUUUUCAUUCAUUUUUAUCUGCUUCUGCUGGUAAUCCCUCAUCAUUUUUCAUUUUCAAGUUUUAUCAUGUUUAUUCUUCAUAUUUUCAUCCUGAUUUUGAUGCACUUUUUUGUUUUAUUCAUAUAAAGUUCCAUGCUUUUCUUGCAUUCUGCUACAAUCUUUACUAUAAAUUCCAAAAGGGAGAAGUGUUUGGCUGAAAAUAGUUUUACCUAACUUCCUUUACUCAAACUAUUUGUUUUAAAAGGUUUUUCUAAAGACAUGAAUUAUGAUAUGACAAUAUAACAUUAUGCUGUCAUUUGAUCUAUGUAACCGAUGCUAUCUAGUCAGAAAAGGCUCAACUUUUGGUGUUGCUUUAGGGUCGGCUGAGUUGAGUUUUGAAGGGAAAUGAAAGAUUUUGGAGCCAUUUGUUUUUCAUGGUUCUCAAGCCUUAUCUUUCUCGUCGUUCUCCUUUAAAACUCAAUUCGCUAACAAAAGCAUCCAAUAAAUGUUUUUUUGUUAAUGUGAGUAGUAUUUACUAUUGAUCAUGUGAAAAAACAUUUGUCUAUUGAAAAACAUAUAUCCUUGAAGGGUUUAUGUUUCUCCCAUUUGUGAAUCAAUUUUUCAUAUCAAGAUGUUUGUUUUUGUUAUUGAUUGUUUUUUUGUUCACAGGGUGUAUUGGAAAUGUGUGCAACAACGAUCAGCGAUCCGAAAGCGAUAUCCGCAUCAGAAACUCAACCGGCAGCAACUAACAACACAAUGGUUUCGAGUGAAGUUGAAUUUGCAAUCUGUGACUGUUGUGGCCUAACAGAAGAGUGCACACCAGCCUACAUCGAAAGAAUCCGCGAGAGAUACAACGGAAAAUGGGUUUGUGGCCUAUGUGCUGAAGCUGUUAAAGAUGAGAUUGUAAGGUCUAAAAGACUUGUUAGCACAGAAGAAGCCUUAACAAAGCACAUGAACUUCUGCAAAAAGUUCAAAACUUCAGUUCCUCCUCCUAACCCAACAGUGCAUUUGAUCUCUGCUAUGAGACAGAUUCUUAGAAGGUGUUUGGAUAAUUCACCUAGAGUGAGGUCUACACCAGUUAGCCCAACUAAGAUUCAUAGUGAAAUUGGUAGUUCUGGACUUACUAGGUCUGAAAGUUGCUUCUCUACUAUGUCUAGUUCAUGAAGGCAUGGAAUGUAAUGGAUUAGAAACAGUGAGAGAAAAGAAGCAUCAAAAUGGAAUGUUGUAUUUUGGUUAGACAAAAAUGGAAGCAUGGAAAGAAAUAAAGACAGAAAAAAUUAAGCUUCAAUUGCUUGUUCAGUUGUAGUUAUCUAAUAUCUAGCAUAAAUCUUUUAGUCUAUAUUUAGAAAUUUGAACAUAACUUGCUCAAAGGUUUUCUUAGUAUGUUCUGUAUUCAAUUUAUUUCUUAAAAACCUAUCUUCAUUAUAGCAGACAAGCAGAAAAGAUUG